rnacentral:pre_miRNA from 1 species
GACAUACUCCCUCCGUUCGGAAUUACUUGUCUCAGAAAUGGAUGUAUCUAGAACUAAAAUACGUCUAGAUACAUCCAUUUCUGCGACAAGUAAUUCCAAACGGAGGGAGUACGAU